AGUAUACCGUGCGGUCGUCUCGCGGCGGUCGCGGUUAUGUGUUAUACCUAAUAAUCGUAUAAUACCCGGUAACAACAAUUUAACGCUGUUCGGCGGCGGUGCAGGACAUGUCCGAGUCGUGGUCGCGUCCGCGGAGUCCGUCUUCCGCGCAGGACCUGCGACAACCACGGUUAUAGAUUUCGCCGUUAUUUUAUACGUCACCGGUGCCGUGGUAUCAUAUUAUACGCGUGCAGUGUACCUAUAGAUGAUAAAAUACGUAAAAAGUGAAAACGACCGGGAAAAUAAUAUGUUAUAUCGAAUCGCUCCGAAGAUAUUUCGAUGAAGUGUGCGAUGUUCUACAUAAUAUUGUGUGCUUAAGAUCGUAAAUUAUUAAAUUUUCAUCGUUAUUUAUAUAGGUACACGCAUUUAAAUAUCUAUCGUGUCAGAACGGCUGACCGACCGAAAUCGACGACAUAGUUUACUCUCUUCUAUAAGCAAAAAAUAACGAUGCAGCGAGACUUUGGUACUGUAUUGGAUUACGACCCCCUAUAAAUAUCAGGAUCCGCCUGAUCAUCGUUCCAAUUUACAUUUAAGCAGUUGGAUUCUGUAACCUGCAGUUGAUGCUCAUAGUCUACAUAUAAAUAACCAGAGUAAAAUAUGUUUCCUUCGCUGUGCACGUUGGGUCAAAAACUAAUUUUUAAAUUAUGAAUACGAUAUAAACGUCAUAUUGUCCUGACAUAAAGAGAGAGAGAGUAGAGAGAGUGAGAGGGUCAUGACGAUGCGGUGGUUGCGGGGUGCAGUUCGAGACGGAGAUAUCACGCGUAAGCGCAAGCUUAAUAUUAUAUUUGUGUUUAUAAAUUAUAAUAUUAUUAUGAAUUGUGUGAAUGACUUUCGUGCUGAAUUUAAAUUUUAAGUUUAAUUCAAUAGUUAUAAAAAAAUAUAUUAUUAUGCGUUGAUGAUUAGUGUAUUUCAAUUUUAAAUUGUUCACGACGAUCCCCUGUUACGCGUAUACUAUAUAGAUAUAAUGUAUAAUGUGAUGACAAUAUCGUCAGCCUACUAUUAAAACGUUUGGCCAACAUUAUAUAGAUGAUAAGUAGGUACUUACUGUGAUUUGACUAUAAUGAUAAAGUAUACAAAAAUAACUAUAAUAUAGAAAGUCCUAUAUUUAACUAUGAAAUAUAUUAUUACAGGCACAAAACACAUUUCUAGAGCAAUUUGGUUUCAUAAAAAUUGAUAUUAAUGUAAAAAUGCAUAUGGGUACUGCUAUGGCUGAAGAAAGUUUACUUUGGAAUUUUAAAAAUUCUUCCUCUAACUUGAAUUUGGAGCUUAUAAACCGAUAUUUCAACGAUUUUGUUCCAAAAUCUCAACUAUUUAUUAUAAUAUAAUAUAGUUUCAGCGGUAAUGGUAUUGUCGUACUCGACGUCCAUCUAAAUUUGCCAGGUCUGCGGACAGAGGGCACACACACACACACACGCACACACACACAUACAUGUACAUAAUAUAGAUAUAUAAAGCGGUGAAUAAAUUAGCUCGAAUGCUGUCCGAAGAAACAUAUUACGCAAAGUUUUCAGCCCCUGCACCGCCACCUGCCCCCCUCCCCAAAACCACCCACGCUCAGGGCUCGACCCCGCAGAGAGUCGGCGGCGUUGGCGUUGUCGGUGGCUGUGGCGGCGGGGCCGUUUAUUGAUUUCGGGACUUGGCGUCGUGUGUACCACGUACGCGUGUUGUAGGACCGCUGUAGUCCAAAGUACCGAUGCGAGAACGACGACGUAACCCUUUUUCUGCAGUCUGGAGUUGGCCAGCUAUCCGUUUCCCCCACCCCUAUACAUGUACACGCGGUCUAACCUUUUCCGCAACCCUUGUGGCAGCAGCUGAGCCGCCUUUGUUCGGUCGACCGUUUGUAUACGCAAGCACCCGAAAUACCGGUCAAAGCGACGUUAUACCGGACGAAACACAUCGUGCUGCUGCAGCGUACAAAUUAUUAUUAUUAUUAUUAUUAUUUCUAUCAUCAUCGUCGUCAUUAUCCAUUACUAUUGUACCAUUCGGGUCGGUAAAAGUUUAUGUUUUUAAUUUAUUUACUUCUCCGAGACUAGAAAACGGCUUUCGAAUGUUUUUUUUCGUUUUUUUUUUUUUUAUUAUUAUUAUUAUUAUUAUUAUUAUUCUGUACGUAUUAUACAUAAAAGGCCGCCGACUAACAAUGUCGAACCAAAUUCUUCGGGCACUGAUUAAUUCCAAAUCCACCCUCCGCCGGCCACGCGACCACCCUCCGCCUCCAUUCAGCCGCUACCAACGUAGUCGUAGUCGUCGUCGUCGUCGUCAUCCAGCGGGGUCGUCCGCGGCGGGGGCGAUAUUAUUGAAUUUUUCAUUAAGCGCCCUCAUCAGGGCUGUGUUAUUGUGACCGAAGAUAAUCAAGGCAUGUAGUUUUUUUUCUUUAUUAUUAUUAUUUUUUUUUUUGUUAUCGUCCCGACCCAGAAUAAUUCCAUACACAAUUAAACGGAGUUCUUUCGACUGGAGGGGUUCCGGAGCGGAAAAUCGAUGUGCCUCGAUCGGGCGGUUAUGGUGUAGGGUGAGUAGUGGCGGGUGAAAGAGAUCGCCGCCGCCGCAUGCUCUCGUCGGUAUAUUAUAGCAGCGUGUACAGAGUUGUGUAUUAUAUAUAAUAUCAUAAUAUAUAGUGCAGCGUAUAGUCAUAGCAAUAGCUGUAUAUAUAGCUCUGUUCGGCACUCGCGUAGGGAAAUAUUCCGAACUUGUUGCCAACAGCUGCCACGACUGUCGUCGCACACAGAAGGGAUAAUAUAAUAUAAUAACGCGCGCGACCGUGCGGAUGGAAACGCAUUCGGGCGAAGGCGGAAUAUCCAUAAAUUCGCCGAGCGAAAACAAAAACGCGCGACGUUUUGUCGUCUCGUGGACACCGCGAACUUAUCUAAAGCACGUGAUACAUACAUAUAAAAUAUAUGCAAACAAUAUAUACAGACGCGACCGAGUGGUUCCGAAGGGAGUGACGAACGCGUGGGCGAAGAAAUUCUAAAAUUUUAUAUUCAUCUAUAUUGUGAAACUUUUUCUGAAACGUUAUCGUAAGUCUGCUCCGUCAAGACUCCCUUGUCAUUUCGUAACUAUUGUGAUGGUUGUCGUCGUACCUUUUCAGGCUGAUCACGAGCGUAUAAUAUGCAUCACGCAAUUAUAAUCGUCGUCGCCGUCAGGGGUGCAAAACAACUUUUCUCAUGGCAAGGUCGCAUGGGGGAGGGCAAAAAAUAUUAUUAUAGAGAGCCUCGAUUAUGACUAUCGAUUAUAGGUCGGGUAUAAAUGCAUAAUAUAAUAAUUUAAUAUAAUAUUAUUUAACACUUGCGUACAAUAAACUAAAACCACCACAACAUUUCUGACGUUUUUACGUACCUAUGUGUUUGCGACGUAACAUUUUUUUUACAUUAAUUUGAGAUAUAUAUUUAGAUUCAUUUUAAGAUUUUGAAACAAAUAUUUUAUUAUAAAUAUUUUUUUAUUAUUCGAAAACCUCAUUAUAUAGUAGUCUACCACAUUUCCACAGUGGUUGUGGGUUACAUAUUUGAGUGUACUUUCGUAUAACUACUGGACUUAAGUAUUGUCUGUGCGACUUAUUAUGCGACAUACUUACUUACUUCUUAUUUAAAAAUAUUCAAUAAUAAUUAAUAAAAUAGUCAAUAAUUUCUAAAAUAUAAUAUAGCAGUAUAGCGAUAAGAAGCAAUAAGUAUAUAGUAGGUAAUAAUAUUGUUUGCUGCACAUCACAUUCCCAUAUAGUUACUAUGUAGGUACCUGCGUAUACUUUCUGCAGAUUUGAAGCUGUGAAAGAUUUAAUUUUAUUGAAGAGUUGAGGGUGGAAUGGGUGAAUGAAAGGGUGUAAAAAUUAUACGUCUGCCCUCUCCAGGGUAAUUUCCGAACGCUCUAGUGUCUAUAUGAACCUUAUUUGACCACCUUCUCCACUUUCCAGCGGCACUGGUUGUCUCGAAAUUGUUUUGUCUCGCACACAUGAUAAUAAUAAUAAACUAUUAUACCAUCGGUAGGCCGCGUAUAAUAAUAUAUUAUUAUUAUUCAACACUAGCGUACAACGAACUUUGAUACGGCAUCACACGACAUCUGACAUUUCCGCGUAUGUGUUCGCAACGCAACAAACCUUUGUACGCGUAAUUGCAGAGUGUUUACUGACCGAAUAAAUACACUGCGCUCAGCACACGCACACGGGGCGACGGCAUUAACUACAAACGCAAACGAUACACCUAUAUUAUAAUACAACAUGUUAUAUACACUCUGGUUCGCACGCGAUCGCUAAUAAUAUAUAAUAUUAUUAUUAAAAUGCACACCAACUUAAC